UUAUGGAGUUUCAGUGAUACUGAAGCCCCGGGCAGUUUCUGAUGUUUUCUCAGUUUCACUCAGAAGCUGGGUACCGAUGUCAUGUAUACUCCUUGCCAGCUCCUUAGGACUCUUUUUUUUUUUUUUUCUUUUCUGAAUUUCUUUAGCCUCAGCCUCUUAGCUUUCUGGGAAAUCUUUUUGGAUACAGUGGGCAGAGUAAACAUCAAAGAAUGGAACCAAGUGCACAUCCUGCUUCUGAGAAAGCCCUUGCUCUGUGGCAAGAAUUCAAGCACUAGGAUGCAGGCAUUUAGGGGAAUGGAAGCUGAACUGUUGCCUUAAGGUUACUCCUCUACCAGAAGAACUGAAAGAGGUUCCCCAAGCCUCCAAAAACAUGUUGUGGGAUAUGGGCCAACAGUUGUUUCCUAGUUGGGAUGGUCUCUUCAUUCAACACUUCAUCUGACUGCUACGCCUCACCAUGGAGUGGAAAGAGUAACUUCCAAACUGAUCACAAGUUGAAGAACUGCUAUAAAAUACAAAGUCUCAAGGUUGUUAAAUUAACUGACUGUGGUGGUUCUAAUGCCUUGGCAGCCCGUGUAAGCAAACCAAAAGCUAAGCCUGUAAAGACCUCAAGAUUAAGAAACUGGAACCAAAGGACAACCCAUAACAAAGAGACAACUGGGCUUCUCUCAAGAAAUCAAACGCUUAAGCUACAGCCAACUGAGUACUUUCUUGCUUUGCUUCCAGGUCUCUUGAAGCUCCUGUUGGUGGAAGGCUCCUAACCACUUUUGGU